AUUGAACGCUGGCGGCAGGCUUAACACAUGCAAGUCGAACGAGUGGCGGACGGGUGAGUAAUGCUUGGGAAUCUAGCUUAUGGAGGGGGAUAACGACGGGAAACUGUCGCUAAUACCGCGUACCAUAGGAUGAGCCCAAGUGGGAUUAGGUAGUUGGUGGGGUAAAUGCCUACCAAGCCUGCGAUCUCUAGCUGGUCUGAGAGGAUGACCAGCCACACUGGAACUGAGACACGGUCCAGACUCCUACGGGAGGCAGCAGUGGGGAAUAUUGCGCAAUGGGGGGAACCUGACGCAGCCAUGCCGCGUGAAUGAAGAAGGCCUUCGGGUUGUAAAGUUCUUUCGGUAGCGAGGCGUUAACUACAGAAGAAGCACCGGCUAACUCCGUGCCAGCAGCCGCGGUAAUAC
rnacentral:rRNA from 1 species